CUUGUACUCCCUAUGUCCGAAAAUAUUUGUCAUUGAAAUGGAUGUAUCUAGAUGUAUUUUAGUUCUAGACACAUCCAUUUUGAUGACAAGUAAUUCCGGACGGAGGGAGUACUUG
rfam:Triticum aestivum genome assembly, contig: Triticum_aestivum_CS42_TGACv1_scaffold_024337_1AS